GUGAGGAAUAUUGCGCAAUGGAGGCAACUCUGACGCAGCCAUGCCGCGUGCAGGAAGAAGGCGCUACGCGUUGUAAACUGCUUUUAACCGGGAAGAAACCCCAGGACGUGUCCUGGGUUGACGGUACCGGAGGAAUAAGCACCGGCUAACUUCGUGCCAGCAGCCGCGGUAAUACGAAGGGUGCAAGCGUUAUCCGGAUUCAUUGGGUUUAAAGGGUGCGUAGGCGGAGCGUUAAGUCAGUGGUGAAAUCCUGCAGCUUAACUGUAGACUUGCCAUUGAUACUGGCGCUCUUGAGUGCGCUUGAAGUGGGCGGAAUGUGCCGUGUAGCGGUGAAAUGCUUAGAUAUGGCACAGAACACCAAUUGCGAAGGCAGCUCACUAAGGCGAUACUGACGCUGAGGCACGAAAGCGUGGGGAGCAAACAGGAUUAGAUACCCGGGUAGUCC
rnacentral:rRNA from 1 species